GAUUAACGCUGGCGGCGUGCAUAACACAUGCAAGUCGAACGAUGAAACUCAUUAGAUUUCUUCGGAAUGAAAAUGAAUGGAUUAGUGGCGAACGGGUGAGUAACGCGUGAGUAACCUGCCUUACACAAGGGGAUAGCCUCUGGAAACGGAGAAUAAUACCCUAUGAAACCAGACAAUCGCAUGAUAAUCUGGUCAAAAUGUUUAGUGGUGUAAGAUGGACUUGCGUCUGAUUAGCUAGUUGGUGAGAUAAAAGCUCACCAAGGCAACGAUCAGUAGCCGGCUUGAGAGAGUGUACGGCCACAUUGGGACUGAGACACGGCCCAGACUCCUACGGGAGGCAGCAGUGGGGAAUUUUGCACAAUGGGGGAAACCCUGAUGCAGCGACGCCGCGUGAUUUAGAAGGCCUUCGGGUUGUAAAAAUCUUUUGUAUAGGAAAAAAAUGACAGUACUAUACGAAUAAGGUCCGGCUAAUUACGUG
rnacentral:rRNA from 1 species